AUGGAGCUGGAAGUUCUGCGCUACACCAACCGCGUUUCCAGUGAAGCCCACAAAGAGCACAGGAAGAACAUAGAGGGACAAAUGAGGAGUUACUGUGACCGUGUCUGUCCGCUAUUCACCGUCUCUUCUCCCUCUCGCGGGACGUCAUUAAAAUCCAGCGCUCGACACCUGAGCCGCUCAUCACUGCUCAUUCCUGAUCCUCCCAAACUCCCAGCGCUGCGGAGCCGUGUCACGUUCACCUGCGCAGGUGAUCUCUCUCAGGAGACUGUGACCGUCUAAUACGGCACAAGACCAGUCAAGUGCUCAUCUGUUGCUCUUUAUUGCUCGCUCUUGUUCUUAGAAUGGUACAGUAAAAAUUAUAGUAUUUAGAAAUAUUAUUACAACAGAAGUGUGGGGUUUGUAAGAUUUUUUAUUUAUUUAUUUUUUUUGGUAAAGAAGUUCUCUUCUGCUCACCAAGGCUUUAUUUAUGUGAUUAAACAAAUGAAGUAAAAGUCUGAAAUAUUAUUACAAUUUAAAAUAUCUGUUUUCUAUGUGAAUAUCUGUUAAAAUAUAAUUUAUUUCUGUGAUGCACAGCUGUAUUUUCAGCAUCAUUACUCCAGUCUUCAGUGUCACAUGAUCUUCAGAAAUCAUUCUAAUAUGAUGAUUUGCUGCUCAAAAAUAAUUUCUGAUCAUUAUAAAUAUAUAUAUAUAUGUGUGUGUGUGUGUGUGUGUGUGUGUGUGUAUGUGUAUAAUUAUUAUUUUGUAAUAAAUAUUCUAUUUUUGUGAGAACCAUGAUACAUUUUUUAAGGCUUCUGUGAUGAUUACAAAGUUCAUAUUCAUACUUUUAUGCUCUCUUUGUUUUAUUAUUAACAGUGUUUAUUUAAAAUAGAAAUCUUUCAAAACGUUAUAAAUGCCUUUACUGUCGUUUUCAGUCAAUUUAAUGCUUCUUGCUGAAUAAAAGUAUUAAUUUCUUUGUAGAGCGAAACUGAAGUUAUGCAUUUUUUUCAGUAUUCUCUGCAGAACAAAACCCUGCAACUAAAUUUACAUGAAUCUGCACAAAACGUUUCAUUUUUCAUUUUUGUUGAAACUGUUGUACUUUUUUUUUUUUUAGGCAAAACGUUAAUAAAUGCCUUUACUGUCGUUUUCAGUCAAUUUAAUGCUUCUUGCUGAAUAAAAGUAUAAUUUCUUUGUAGAGCGAAACUGAAGUUAUGCAUUUUUUUCAGUAUUCUCUGCAGAACAAAACCCUGCAACUAAAUUUACAUGAAUCUGCAACUAAAACGUUUCUAUUUUUCUAUUUUUGUUAGAAACUGUGACUUUUUUUUUUUUUUUUAGGGAUUCCUUGACAAAUAGAAAGUAGAACGAAAAAUAUUUCUUCUGUCACUUUUUGAUCAUUGUAAUGCCUACUUUCCUGAAUAAAUGUAUUAAAUUCUUU
rnacentral:lncRNA from 1 species